UGCCAGCCGCCGCGGUAAUACGGGAGUGGCAAUCGUGAUCCGGAAUUACUGGGCUUAAAGAGUUCGUAGGUGGUUGAAAAAGUUGGUGGUGAAAUCCCAGAGCUUAACUCUGGAACUGCCAUCAAAACUUUUCAGCUAGAGUAUGAUAGAGGAAAGCAGAAUUUCUAGUGUAGAGGUGAAAUUCGUAGAUAUUAGAAAGAAUACCAACUGCGAAGGCAGCUUUAUGGAUCAUUAAGGACAACGGAGGAAAGAACGCAUGGGUCGCGAAGAGGAGUAGAUA
rnacentral:rRNA from 1 species